ACCUAUAAUCCUAGCUACUCGGGAGGCUGAGGCAAGAGAAUCUCUGAGCCUGGGGACGGGGCUCGGCUUCCGCCUGACAAGUUACAUCACAGCCCAGCGGUUGCCAGCUGGGCCUGUGGCCAAAAUACCCCGUGGGCCCAGAUUCUCAUGUCUGCCCAGAUCUCCGCCAUCAGAGUCCAGCUGCCAACUGCACGUCCUCCUGGAGUUCCCUCUGACCCCUCAGACCCAGCAAGGCCCAGAAGCAGCUCAGUAUCUGCCCCAAAUCUGCUUCUCCUCU
rnacentral:lncRNA from 1 species